CUGGGCAACAAAAGCAAAACUCCAUCUCAAAAAAAAAAAAGAGAGAGAGAGAGAACUGUUCCCAGCUGUGGUCAGAGAGGUAGCUGUGACCAUGGAAGCUUUGUCGGAGAUGCAAUGUUGAGGGCUUUGAAGAUGGGGAGAAGGAGCCAUGAGCCAAAGAACGUGGACAGCCUCUAGAAACUGGAUAAGGGAAGAGAAUGGAUUCUUCCCUACAGCCUCCAGAAAAGAAUACAGCCUUGCUGCCAGCUUGGUUUGACACCAGUGAGACCAUGUUGGACUUCAGACCUCCAGAACUGUACAAUGAUAAAUUUGUCGUAGUUUUUUUAAGCCACCCAGUUUGUGGUCACUUAUUAGAGCAGCAAUAGAAAACCAAUGCAUUCUCACAGCUUUAAUCCUCCGUUAAGGUAUUUUUCCUCCCAAAACUAUUCUUGACUUCUAAAAGACUUUUAAUUUUUUUUUUUUUUUGAGAUGGAGUUUCACUCUGCUGCCCAACAGGAGUGCAUGUAUCCUCUGUCUCCCAUUACCAAAGAUUUAUUCAGACAUCCCUUCUUCAUCUUCUAGGAGCUGUGAAGCUGCAGAAUUUUGGUUUGUUGGGAUGCAUCGUGGUGCUCACCUACAGAUGUUGUUUUGCAGAGUGCAGAGGCAAUACAUGGAGAUACAACAGCCAUCUUGUGACCGUGAGAACAAGGGUCGUUUACCAAGGAUGACAUAAGAGAAAGUUAGUAAGAACCUUGACCCCUGAUGAGGUAAAGUCAUUUCACCUGCGUAGGACAGUUUCUAGUCUUCUUGUGAAUGUGAGAAGAACAAACUUUUAUUUGCUGAAGCUCUUAUAGCCAGGCUCACUCAGCCUGUCAGCUGAUCGUUCUCUUUUUCGAAAGAUGGCAGCAUCAUUCCAAGCAUCUCAUACCGACAGGGCAGUGUGAGUUUUCCCAGAAGCCUCUUAACUGACUUACUCCCCACUAGCCAGAAUUGCAGUAUACGGCCAUACCUAAGACAAACACUGGUAAGUAGACUGGCAGAAGGAAUGCAGUGAUUGGCUUAGACUGAUUACCCAUGGGAGCACAGUGAUUGGCUUAGACCAAUUAUCAGUGGAGCUGAGCGAUUGGUUUUCCUUUGGGGCUGAAGCUUGGAAGUUCUUCACUUUAUCACGUAGGGCUGGGGACACCCUUCAGCAAAAUCCAGGUUCUGGCAACAAGGAAAAUCUAUGCACAAGGGUUGGGGUAAUGAAUGAUUUAGGUAAUUUAUCUUCUAUAUAAGCCAUCAAAGGGCCAGCUGUACUAGCAAGAAGGGCAAUAGAGGCCCAGAGAAGGUGUCCAGAAAGCUGAAGAAAGAGUCGGGGAAGGUAGGUAAGUGUCAGUUGGAGGGCCUUGGGUUUUACACAGAACGAAUAACCUGAAUGAGUUACCCGUUAAACCACUGUUCCCUCACUCCAUUCUCCCUCCUGAGGAUGGAUUAUGCACCUGCUCGCACAUCUGACAGUUGCUUCAUAUCACCAGUUUGGGUCAGGGUGACAUGACCCAGCUGCCUCCAGAAGCCUCCCAGCCAAUGGACCCAGAGCGGGCUGUGGGCAAAUCAGUCAGCUGGUGGCUGCUGAUUGGAAUUCAUCCACAUUCUCAAGGUGGAGGACAGCGGGAGAUGUAUGCAGCCUCCUCCCCUAUGGAGGGGGUGCUAUUUGUUUAAAUGGUGGUUGGUGAUACCAAAAACACUUGGCCUCCUUUAUCUGGAUAUAGAAUAAUCCAGCACAAAUAGAUCAGUAGUAAUAAUACAGCAGCAACAGUAGCCCAACUCUUUUAUUUUGUAGACGUAGGAAAUCAAGUUCAUAUUGAAGUGAUUCGGCCAGGGUCACAAAGUCCAAACUGGAGCUAAGACUGAGUCUUAAGUCUCCUUGCUUUGAUUCUCUUUCUCCUUAUACUUGUAGGAAGAGUUUCUAUGUUAAAUGUAUGCCACAUCUAUAACAUCAUUUUUCUGCAACACAGAACUGCUUUAGAUGUGGCAAAUUCAUCCCAUCUCUGCUGCAGCUAUGAGUCUCAGAGAAAGUAAGUCUCCAUUGCUUGGGUAAAUAUAUCUAUUGCCUUUCAACCCUACCCUACUUUGAGUAGUCAGGUCUCUUCCCGUUUCCCCACUCUCCCUUAUGGAUCCAAAAAUGAUUCUAGAAAGUACAACUUGAAAACCACUGCCAUGAUGCAAUGUUGGGAACCUUGUUCACAUGCUAAAGCUCAAUAUCACUUUGACUUCAGCUGAAGAUCACUAAAGCUCAGUAUCACUUCAACUUCAGCUGAAGAUCGCUAGAGCUCAGUAUCACUUCAACUUCAGCUGAAGAUCACUAGAGCUCAGUAUCACUUCAACUUCAGCUGAAGAUCGCUAAAGUCAAUAUCACUUCUACUUCAGCUGAAGAUCACUAGAGCUCAAUAUCACUUCUACUUCAGCUGAAGAUCACAGGUCAGUAUCACUUCUACUUCAGCUGAAGAUCACUAAAGCUCAGUAUCACUUCAACUUCAGCUUAGGAUCACUUCUCUCGUUGCCUCUUUAAUGUCUGCUUCACGACAUUUAUUGCAAGUUAGUUGUGUGAUGAGCUGUCUUCCUCACAAGAACCUUACCUCCAAUGAGGGCAGGGAAUGAGGCGAAUCUGUUUGAUUUGACACUGUGUCUUCAGUGCAUAGGCCAGAUCCUCAGACAUUGUAGGCUCUGGGAAAAAAUGUUUGGGACUAGAAUAACCAGAGGACUGGGGGAAAUCCAAUCCUAGUCUCACUUAGGGGAAGCCAGAAUAACAUAAUGUAGUUCACAUUGUAUAGUUCUUUGGAGGCAAAAAAAAAAAAAAAAAAAAUUGAGAUAGUGCACCAAGGCUUUGAAAUCUUUCU